AAAAAAAAUGGACUAAAAUUACUCCUAAACUAAAGAAACACAAAGUGAAAGCCAAAGCUCCAGCCAAAAACUCUCCCCCUUCUCUCCCGUGUGAGAAACCCCUUUACAAGGCCAAUUAACCGGCAAAAACAGCGCCACAUCCUGGCACUUCUGCCAUUCUUUUUCGAAGUGUUAGAAGUUUCGUUUUUUCAAAGUGUCAGAAAUCCUCAAAACUCUGGGGAGAUGUAUGGAGGAGGCCCCUUGUUUUCUGCAUCAACUGCUCUCUGUCAAGCAAUUUGCAAAGUCUCAGACUUUGCCCACUAAUCCAUAUCUAUUUUCUAACUUUGCUUAGCAACUAUCUGACAUGAUCCAACGACCAUAUCUUUGUUGAACCGGAUGAACUUUUGGAUUUAGCCGGUUGAACUUUUUUUGGUUUGGUCUCUGAUUUUCUUCAACUAGUUGAACUUUCCUUUGAGUCUUCUGGUUUAUCUAAUACUCUUUUAACCUGCAAAAUCAUUUUAAAUCCACUCGCGCAAAACAACCAUUAAAUUAAUCGGAUAAUAUGUGCAAGAAUGCAAAAAUGAGAAAAAAUCCGACUAAUAAAUUAUAGGGAAAACUUCACCUACACCCCCUGAGGUUUGGUGUAUUGACACUUAUUCCCGACACCUUUCAAAAAUAGGCAGGUAAACCCCCUGAAGUUUGGUGUAUCGACAAUUAGACCCCCUGCCGUUUAGUGACGUUAGCAUUUUCUGUUAGUUGACCAUUUUGACUAAAGAAAAUGUCAUAAAUACCCUUGAAAAUUCUCUCUCUCUCUCGGUUUUUAUUUUUAUUUUUUUCAGUUUUGUUGCUUUUUUUUUUAGUUUUUUUAAUAAUUUUUUUUAUCAAAUUUAUUUUUUUUAUUACAUGUUUGUAAUCUUUUUAUAAAUUUUUUUUAUUUUUGUAAGGCA
rnacentral:lncRNA from 1 species